rnacentral:rRNA from 1 species
AUUGAACGCUGGCGGCAGGCCUAACACAGGCAAGUCGAACGAGUGGCGGACGGGUGAGUAAUGUCUGGGAAACUGCCCGAUGGAGGGGGAAAACUAAUAGAAACGGUAGCAAAUACCGCAUACCAUCAGAUGUGCCCAGAUGGGUUUAGCUUGUUGGGGGGGUAACGGCUCACCUAGGCGACGCUCCAUAGCUGGUCUGAGAGGAUGACCAGCCACACUGGAACUGAGCCACGGGCCAGACUCCUACGGGAGGAAGCAGUGGGGAAUAUUGCACAAUGGGCGCAAGCCUGAUGCAGCCAUGCCGCGUGUAUGAAGAAGGCCUUCGGGUUGUAAAGUACUUUCAGCGAGGAGGCGUUACUCGCAGAAGAAGCACCGGCUAACUCCGUGCCAGCAGCCGCGGUAAUUC